AACAAUGGUCUGCACAAACCCCUGCGCGGACAUCUGUGUGCAUCUCAAAAUGUAUGUUAGAGAGGCCUGUCACGAUAAUUACAGUAUCAACGCACGAUAUAUGGACAUGACCUUGGUAUUGCCUAUUUAUUUGUUUACAUGCAUUUUUGUUUACAUGAGAAUCAACGUCACAAUAUUUCAGCCAGUCACGCUGCUUCUGCGGCUGUCGGAGCUGAUCGCGGCCAUUCUAGACAAUGCUCCGCUCUGUGGAGAAUUCACGGUGAAUACACUAUUUUUUACGGAAGCUGCGUCAAGCUGCGCAGAGCAGAUGAUCCGGGCAAGAAUUCUGACACAGAAACGGCACUGAGAAUCCGAUCAAUUUUCAAAAUACAACACCCUGCAUUGAACGGUGCUUAUCAACAAUAAACUCCAUUAAAACAGACAAAAACAAACCAUUUAACAUAAAGGACAAAUGACUAAAUCAACAAAAUCUGAGCAAGUCAGCAAAAUCAGAAAAGCAUAUCCCAAUAAAGAUACACAUCCUAAUAUAGAACAUUUUUUGUAAAUUCAUUGAAAUAUGGCAUUUCCAACUGUAACUUGGGAUAUUUCUCUGGAUUAUAAAGGUGGGAUAAGUGAUUCUUAGAUAAAUCCAACACCAUAACAAAUACCAUAAUUGAGUGAACAAUGACACAGCAAGUAAUGUAACUAAUGUUAGGUAGGUUGUGGAUUAGCAAACUGAAGCUACUUGCUGCUGCAAAGCUAACGUGAGAAGAUUAGACGGCCUCAAAGCAGCACAGCAGCUCCAGACAGCGACACUCACAACUCUCCUGCUGCUAUAACUAACAUCAGCAUGUCUAGGCGAACUAUAGAGUAAGCUGUCUGUGGCCAAGUCAUUUAACACUGACACACAUAUGCACUACUGGAUAAUGUUGUGUGGCUCGUCCAUUAUUCUUAAUGCAGAUUUCUUCCCUGCAACACCGGCUCGUGUGGAAGAACUGACCUCGGUGAAGUUAGUUUCAAGCUGGAUAUUACUUUUGUUGGACAUUUCAUAGAUAUUGAAUUCCAGUGUAAAACUUCACCACGGUGCAAAGCGCUGUUCCCUCACCGAAAUGUUACGCUAAAGUGUGGAAUUUGCGACACAACAAAAUAAACAAUAGAGCAUAAAGGUAAAUGAUAGAUGUUUCCUCAAAUGAUAGGCCUAGAUAUCAUCAUAUUGCACAGCCCUACAGGGAAGUGCAGUUUGAACAGAGGUAACCACACAGGGUUGAAUUGAUGGGGUUUUUUUCUCUCAGCGGUCCAUUCAAGUGCCCAAACUGUUGCGGCACCAGUGCGUUCCAUUUUCUCGGAAGUCGGAGCACUGAGCAGGGAAUGACGUUACAUCCGAGUUGACGGCAUUUCAGUUAAAAGUCAGAAAACCUUGCCUGGCCAGCUGUUGUUUACAACUAGCCAGGUUUUCCAUUGUUACGCCGGUUGAUUAAAAAAACAAAACAAAAAAACGCAUUGUGCUGUAUUUACGCAUAAUAAACACAGUAGCAACACUUCCACAGACCGCAGUUGGACAGCACUUUGUGUACAAAAGUUUCUAUGAGACACAAGUACACAGAAGUGCUAAUAAACAAAACACAGCUUUCACCAACUGUUGAUACUCGGAGCAGCCAUCUUGGAUCACAAAGUUUGGUAGUGUGGUUCUCCCGACUUUCCAAGUCCCUUAAAGGGGACUUAAAGGGGCGUUCUCUUUGACUUAAAGGGGCGUUCUCUUUGAAAUGUCCGACUUUGAACUUGGAAAUUCCCACUUCCCAUGUCAAAUGGAAUGAACCACUACACGCUCUACAGCCUCCCGAGGAAGGGUUUUCACCGGAAGACAGUGGUGCCUAGGCAGAAAUGGCUGAUCAGUCUUUUCAACCUGUCUCCUAACAGUUUUUGUUCACCGGCUUUGGUCCUUCGGUAUGAGGAACCAAAAAUGACAUAUCUAUAAAUGAAUAAAUAAAUGCAGAAAUAAAUUUUAUUUUAUUUAAAUUAAUUUUAUUAAUUUUUUGUAAUAACAUUUUUGUAUUUAUUUAUGCAUUUCUACAUUAAUUUUAUAUUUAUUUAUUUCUACAUUUUUCUACAUUGUUUUUGUGUGUUUUAGUUGUUGUUGUUGUUGUUGUUAUUAUUAUUUGUCUGCCGCGCAAAUUCCCAUGAGCCGGAAUGAGCUAGAAACAUGAAACUUGGGGGAAUAACUGGAAAUGGUGUGCAUCAGCUUCCAGAGAAAUAUGAACCCAAUCAGCCACAUGGUGGCGCUAUAAUUAAGGCUUAAAAAUUUUAACUUUGAAAGGCCAUGCCCCUUACACCGUAAGGCCGAUUGACUUAAGAUUUUUCACACAGGUGCAGCUCAGUGUGCUCUACAAAAAAGCCUCUAGGACUAUUGAGGUCCGCCUAGAGUUUUUUUCCGCCAUUUUGAAUUUUUUGAAAAUCACAUUUUUCAUCACAUCUCCUAGACCGUAGCUCCGAUUGCCACCAAAUUUUCAGUGAAUCAUUGUAUCAUUCCUAUUAAAAGUUGUAUAAAGCAUGUCAAUAUCUCAAUUACUUUUCAAGAAAUGGACCAAUGAACUUUGAAAGGGACGUGUCUCUGGACAUGAAUGACCACAAAUCAGCAACCGUAGGGCCAAUCAUCACAAAACUCUGUUCAGAUAGUUGCCUCAGAUAUACCUGGACAGUUUGAUGUACAUAUGUUACUAGGGGGCACUAUAAGAAGAAGAAAGGUGCUUAGCAUUACACAAAUUACACUAUAAAUGACAUAUUCAUUCUCCAAUCAUCACAAAUCUCUCAGGAUAUGUCCUCAUAAGUUUCAUUCACAUCGAACACCCGGGGGCGCUAUAAAGGCAAACAAACUGCAGGGGAUAAAACGCAAAACAGGCUACAAAAUGCAUAUUGUUUGUCCAAUCAACACAAAACUUGCAGGAUAUGUUUAGAUAAGCACCUCACACAUACACUGCAAGUCUCAUUCAAAUGGACCACUAGGAGGCGCUAUAAAUGCAUAAUAAUUGGAUGUGGAAUGAAACAAAUCAAGCUAUAGAACAGAAAAUACAUGUCCAAUUGUUACAAAACUUGCAGAAUGUGUUUCGUAACAAUAUUCAACCGUAUGUGUGAAAUCUUUUUGAUGGCAAUAUUGCGAAAAAAGGUAUGAACGCGAAUUGCCGCUUGCGGCUAUAUUUUAUUUCUGUAUUUCCACAUUUAUUUUUCCCUGCGCCUGUAUGCUAAUAGAGUGGGUGGUGCCAACAUCAGUCUGAAACAGGAAUGGUUAGCUGGGGCCGCAUCACAAACCAGAAGAAGCAAGUGAGUCAUCUACAUGACACAAGCCAGCUACACAGUAGAUUCCUUUAGUCAAACAUAUUCAGUGUCAAAGUACAUGGAUUCUUCCAUGGUUAUUACAACAACAGCUAGAGUAAGAUUCUUCCACUGUUGGUGUAGUUUUUCGUAUUUAAAAGACGUGAAAGAAUUACUCCGGAAAGCCCCGUCCAACUCCUUCUCUGGGAUUUCAACCUUCAACCAACAGGAAUUUUUACAGCGCCAUUUUCCUUGUCGAAAAUCUGUGGUAAGUGUCUGUCUCUAAAUUACUUAAAUCAUUGUUUUGCAUUUCAAGAGAAGCCGCAUUGUACAACAACUUAAUAUUUAUGUCCACCUACACUGCAGCUGGCUGUAUGUUUUAAAACAGAAUUCUGAGGGGCGAACGUGACAGAGUUGAUGGCUAACGUUAGCUCCAAUGUGCCAUUAAAUACAUGAGCAAAGCCCUUAUAAGCAAAGGUUAGGUGAAGUCCAGUUGGUAAAUGCUCAUUACUAUAAGUGCACCAAAACCUUUACACAUAAAAAGCUUUAACUUAAUCCAACCAAGCCCGCUUCAUCUGCGUGCCUUGCAGGCUAGAAUUGCGAAACAUUAUUGGAUAAUUCUUAUAGUUGACAUUUCUCUGGGCCAAUCGGAAUCUUAGCACACAGUGUCAACUGAGCUCGCCAUUGGAUGAGACUCCUGGCUACCACGCGAGUCUGAUGGAAACUUAUAACGUGAAGGAAUCUUAUGUGAAAUUCGAGCUGGCAACGGAGGCAUCAGAGUUUAUGAUAAGUAGGGGAUGCAGACGUCUUUGAAGAUGUAGCACAGCAACCCAAUGCUGGUGUAUUUACUAUCACAUCUGACAACGAUUCCAAGGGGACAACCUUUUCCAGCUCUUCUCAGUCCACCAUGCCACUGCUUGAUGUCUUAACCAACUCAGCACUGUACGUUUCAGCUUCUGGCUCAGAUGAUACAGUCCUCCUGGAUGAGGAAUGAAGCGCUUCCAGAAAACAAGAGAAUGCUGAUAAUGAUGUCAAACAUUUAAUUGAGUCUGCACUGACCAUGAAACCUGGUGGAGGUCGUAUCAUCAAGGCGAAGAAAGCUCUGACUGACUCCUCACAGCAACAUAUGGUUAAAGGAUGAUCUCAGGAUUUUUAAACCUGGGCCCCAUUUUCACAUAUUUUGGUAUUGAAAUGACUCGUAGGUACAUAAAGUUUUAAAUCAGUGCAGUAGAUGGCUUCCAGAAGACAUUCUGUUUUUAACGGGAAGCUGAAAUCUCAAAGACAAUUCUCACUCUAAAAUCUCGUGAGACACAUUCAACACAAACACACAGCAGGCACACGCCGGCUUCACAACUCUCUCAGGGCUUAUUUGGUAGAUUCUGGCUGGAGUUGAUUGGUAGAUUCCAAAUGAUGGCAUGAUAAUGACGUUUGUUAUGGGCUACAAUUCUCCCCUGGAAUGCACUUUAAACAAACAUUUUCAGUAUUAAGAGAGAUUUUACAUGUACCAUGUCUUUUAACAACAAUUUCAGUAUUUAAAAUGAAUUUGCAGUUUAAUAGUGAGUGCUAAAUGAGCCGUCACACUCAAGAAGAACUACAAACUAAACCUUGAGGUUAAAUGUUUUUAUUUUUAAUAAAUUGUAUGGAUUACAUGGA